rnacentral:rRNA from 1 species
AUUGAACGCUGGCGGCAGGCCUAACACAUGCAAGUCGAACGGUAACAGGAAACAGCUUGCUGUUUCGCUGACGAGUGGCGGACGGGUGAGUAAUGUCUGGGAAACUGCCUGAUGGAGGGGGAUAACUACUGGAAACGGUAGCUAAUACCGCAUAACGUCGCAAGACCAAAGAGGGGGACCUUCGGGCCUCUUGCCAUCGGAUGUGCCCAGAUGGGAUUAGCUAGUAGGUGGGGUAACGGCUCACCUAGGCGACGAUCCCUAGCUGGUCUGAGAGGAUGACCAGCCACACUGGAACUGAGACACGGUCCAGACUCCUACGGGAGGCAGCAGUGGGGAAUAUUGCACAAUGGGCGCAAGCCUGAUGCAGCCAUGCCGCGUGUAUGAAGAAGGCCUUCGGGUUGUAAAGUACUUUCAGCGGGGAGGAAGGGAGUAAAGUUAAUACCUCUGCUCAUUGACGUUACCCGCAGAAGAAGCACCGGCUAACUCCGUGCCAGCAGCCGCGGUAAUACGGAGGGUGCAAGCGUUAAUCGGAAUUACUGGGCGUAAAGCGCACGCAGGCGGUUUGUUAAGUCAGAUGUGAAAUCCCCGGGCUCAACCUGGGAACUGCAUCUGAUACUGGCAAGCUUGAGUCUCGUAGAGGGGGGGUAGAAUUCCAGGUGUAGCGGUGAAAUGCGUAGAGAUCUGGAGGAAUACCGGUGGCGAAGGCGGCCCCCUGGACGAAGACUGACGCUCAGUGCGAAAGCGUGGGGAGCAAACAGG